AACGAACGCUGGCGGCAUGCCUAACACAUGCAAGUCGAACGAAGCCUUCGGGCUUAGUGGCGCACGGGUGCGUAACGCGUGGGAAUCUGCCCCUCGGUUCGGAAUAACAGUUAGGAAUGACUGCUAAUACCGGAUGAUGACGAAAGUCCAAAGAUUUAUCGCCGAGGGAUGAGCCCGCGUAGGAUUAGCUUGUUGGUGGGGUAAUGGCCCACCAAGGCGACGAUCCUUAGCUGGUCUGAGAGGAUGAUCAGCCACACUGGGACUGAGACACGGCCCAGACUCCUACGGGAGGCAGCAGUGGGAAUAUUGGACAAUGGGCGAAAGCCUGAUCCAGCAAUGCCGCGUGAGUGAUGAAGGCCUUAGGGUUGUAAAGCUCUUUUACCAGGGAUGAUAAUGACAGUACCUGGAGAAUAAGCUCCGGCUAACUCCGUGCCAGCAGCCGCGGUAAU
rnacentral:rRNA from 1 species